AGUGAACGCUGGCGGCAGGCCUAACACAUGCAAGUCGAACGGCAGCACAAGAGAGCUUGCUCUCUGGGUGGCGAGUGGCGGACGGGUGAGGCAUGCAUCUGAAUCUGCCCAUUUGUGGGGGAUAACCUCGGGAAACCGGGACUAAUACCGCAUACGACCUACGGGUGAUAGCAGGGGAUCUUCGGACCUUGCGCCGAUGGCUGAGCCGAUGCCGGAUUAGCUAGUUGGAGGGGUAAAGGCCCACCACGGCGACGAUCCGUAGCUGGUCUGAGAGGAUGAUCAGCCACACUGGGACUGAGACACGGCCCAGACUCAUACGGGAGGCAGCAGUGGGGAAUAUUGGACAAUGGGCGCAAGCCUGAUCCAGCCAUGCCGCGUGUGUGAAGAAGGCCUUCGGGUUGUAAGCACUUUUGUUGGGAAAGAAAAGCAGCCGGUUAAUACCCGGUUGUCAUGACGGUACCCAAAGAAUAAGCACCGGCUAACUUCGUG
rnacentral:rRNA from 1 species